rnacentral:lncRNA from 1 species
UCUUCAUGAAUUAUCUCACUUAAUUCUCACACCAGCCCGAUAAAAUAAUGAUUUUUAUUUUUCUCCAUUUUACAGACAGGGAGACUGAAACCAAGAAGAGUUAUGGAACUUCUGGAUAUUACACAGGCAGGGGGUGAGCCUGGAGCUCUGGCCCAGGCAGUCUGCCUCCAGCGGCUGUGCUUCCCACCACCCCUCCCAGCCAAGCCUUUCUCUCUUUGCCUGGGAUGAAGAUCAUUUUCAGAAGCUUCCCCAUCCUAACAUGUUAGAUCAACUGUCUGGGCUACUCAGCUGCUUCUCCUCCCUCACUCUCAGGAUUUGUCUGCUUCUACCCAGGAGAAUACGAAAAUUCUUCUUCCUGAAAUCAAACCCACCUUUUGAGGGGCAGUAGAAUUUUGCCAUGAGGAAGAACACACACGUUCAACACAGAGAAUGAAAGCUGGGACAGGAUCACAUGCCCAGAGCAUAGCAGACUGCAAGCUCUCAGGAUGGUCAGAGUGGAAAGAGCUGGAUAUUAGUUUAAACCAUGGAAAACUUUUCAUGAAGACUCAAAACCUGAGAGAACUUGAAAGAUGAAUAUGAAUUAAGGUGACGUUAAGGGAAUAAGAUAUGAAAUAAACAGGCAUCUGAGUGCAUUUUUCUAUGAGCAAUUUACCAACCUAUUAUUAGAAAAUGCUUAAAAGAGGAAUGUUUCUUCUAUG